AUUGAACGCUGGCGGCGUGCCUAACACAUGCAAGUCGAGCGGUAACGCGGGGGCAACCCUGGCGACGAGCGGCGAACGGGUGAGUAAUGCUUGGGAAUCUGCCCAGUAGUGGGGAAUAACCAGCCGAAAGGUUGGCUAAUACCGCAUACGCCCUACGGGGGAAAGCGGGGGACCGAAAGGCCUCGCGCUAUUGGAUGAGCCCAAGUCGGAUUAGCUAGUUGGUAGGGUAACGGCCUACCAAGGCGACGAUCCGUAGCUGGUCUGAGAGGACGACCAGCCACACUGGGACUGAGACACGGCCCAGACUCCUACGGGAGGCAGCAGUGGGGAAUAUUGGACAAUGGGCGAAAGCCUGAUCCAGCGACGCCGCGUGGGUGAAGAAGGCCUGCGGGUUGUAAAGCCCUUUUAGUGGGGAUGAAAAACUCAGACCUAAUACGUCUGGGUCUGACCUAACCCACA
rnacentral:rRNA from 1 species